UCAGAAACAGGAAGAUCGUGGUGUGGCGUAGUUCUCUCUGGUUCUUGUUUAGAGAGAAAAAGAGCGAUAUGGUUUCUCGCUGAAACUCUGCUACAAAGAAAGAUGAGCUCCUCUCUAUCGCUUCCCCUCUUCAUGGGUUUGUCAUGGUCGACGACUUGUCUAGUCUCCUCUUUUUCUUAUAAAUUUGUUUUGAUAUUCUCUCUCUAAAACCUGUAUUCCUUGACAUUUAUGCGACUAAAGCACGG
rnacentral:lncRNA from 1 species